rnacentral:tRNA from 1 species
GGGCCUGUAGCUCAACGGUUAGAGCAGGGGACUCAUAAUCCCUUGGUUCUCGGUUCAAAUCCGAGCGGGCCCA